AGACUUCUAUCUACAACAGAGGGGUAGGUCCUUGGUACAGGGAGACUUCUAUCUACAGCAGAGGGGUAGGUCCUUGGUACAGGGAGACUUCUAUCUACAGCAGAGGGGGUAGGUCCUCGGUACAGGGAGACUUCUAUCUACAGAAGAGGUCCUUGGUACAGGGAGACUUCUAUCUACAGCAGAGGUCCUCGGUACAGGGAGACUUCUAUCUACAGCAGAGGGGUAGGUCCUCGGUACAGGGAGACUUCUAUCUACAGCAGAGGUCCUCGGUACAGGGAGACUUCUAUCUACAGCAGAGGGGUAGGUCCUCGGUACAGGGAGACUUCUAUCUACAGCAGAGCACUGUAGUGAGAAAGUGGCUGAGAAAUCCACAUUCUAUUUGUGCUAAUGUAAAGGACGUCAUGCUGCUUGCUUAGCGAGUACCKCUUUGGCCCGAUUUGGCCCAUACAUGGACUGACCUCAGGACCUCUGCCUUGCUAGCACGCGUGACCGCACUCCUGAAGCAUCUUACCAGUGGGAGCCACGUGAAAAGCUAGCUAAUCGCUGGCGCAAGUGGGGACACUUCAGACUGAAGAGUAAGUAUCACACAUCUACUCGGGUUACACUAACUUUCCACUCCUUGUCAUUCCAAACAUCAGAGUACAGUUGAAGUCGGAAGUUUACAUACACUUAGGUUGGAGUCAUUAAAACUCAUUUUUCAACCACUCCACACA